AGCCAGACUCCUACGGGAGGCAGCAGUGAGGAAUAUUGGUCAAUGGCCGAGAGGCUGAACCAGCCAAGUCGCGUGAGGGAUGACGGCCCUACGGGUUGUAAACCUCUUUUGUCGGGGAGCAAAGAGAGUCACGUGUGGCUCAUUGAGAGUACCCGAAGAAAAAGCAUCGGCUAACUCCGUGCCAGCAGCCGCGGUAAUACGUAGGGAGCGAGCGUUGUCCGGAAUUACUGGGUGUAAAGGGAGCGUAGGCGGGCUUGUAAGUUGAAUGUCUAAUCCACCGGCUCAACCGGUGAUCGCGUUCAAAACUGCAGGUCUUGAGUGAAGUAGAGGCAGGCGGAAUUCCUGGUGUAGCGGUGAAAUGCGUAGAUAUUAGGAGGAACACCAGUGGCGAAGGCGGCCUGCUGGGCUUUAACUGACGCUGAGGCUCGAAAGCGUGGGGAGCAAACAGGAUUAGAUACCCUAGUA
rnacentral:rRNA from 1 species